rnacentral:tRNA from 1 species
CCGCUCGUAGCGAAGUUUGGAUAUCGCGUCAGAUUCCGAUUCUGAAGGUCGGGGGUUCGAGUCCCUUCGAGCGGACCA